rnacentral:rRNA from 1 species
AGAGUUUGAUCCUGGCUCAGAACGAACGCUGGCGGCAGGCCUAACACAUGCAAGUCGAGCGCCCCGCAAGGGGAGCGGCAGACGGGUGAGUAACACGUGGGAACCUUCCCUAUAGUACGGAAUAGCCCAGGGAAACUUGGAGUAAUACCGUAUACGCCCGAAAGGGGAAAGAUUUAUCGCUAUAGGAUGGGCCCGCGUAGGAUUAGCUAGUUGGUGAGGUAAUGGCUCACCAAGGCGACGAUCCUUAGCUGGUUUGAGAGAACGACCAGCCACACUGGGACUGAGACACGGCCCAGACUCCUACGGGAGGCAGCAGUGGGGAAUAUUGGACAAUGGGCGCAAGCCUGAUCCAGCCAUGCCGCGUGAGUGAUGAAGGCCUUAGGGUUGUAAAGCUCUUUUGCCGGGGACGAUAAUGACGGUACCCGGAGAAUAAGUCCCGGCUAACUUCGUG